GAUGAACGCUGGCGGUAUGCUUAACACAUGCAAGUCGAACGGACUCUUCGGAGUUAGUGGCGGACGGGUGAGUAACGCGUGAGAAUCUGGCUUUGGGUUCGGGACAACCACUGGAAACGGUGGCUAAUACCGGAUGUGCCGAGAGGUAAAAGGGAAAUUGCCUGAAGAUGAGCUCGCGUCUGAUUAGCUAGUUGGUGAGGUAAAGGCUCACCAAGGCAGCGAUCAGUAGCUGGUCUGAGAGGAUGACCAGCCACACUGGGGCUGAGACACGGCCCAGACUCCUACGGGAGGCAGCAGUGGGGAAUUGUCCGCAAUGGGCGAAAGCCUGACGGAGCAAUACCGCGUGAGGGAAGAAGGCUCUUGGGUUGUAAACCUCUUUUCUUAGGGAAGAACAAAAUGACGGUACCUAAGGAAUCAGCAUCGGCUAACUCCGUG
rnacentral:rRNA from 1 species